CCUACGUGAGGCAGCAGUGAGGAAUAUUGGUCAAUGGGCGAGAGCCUGAACCAGCCAAGUAGCGUGAAGGAUGACUGCCCUACGGGUUGUAAACUUCUUUUAUAAAGGAAUAAAGUGAGGCACGUGUGCCUUUUGUAUGUACUUUAUUAAUAAGGAUCGGCUAAACCCGUGCCAGCCGCCUCGGUAAUACGGAGGAUCCGAGCGUUAUCCGGAUUUAUUGGGUUUAAAGGGAACGUAGAUGGGUUGUUAAGUCAGUUGUGAAAGUUUUCGGCUCAACCGUAAAAUUGCAAUUGAUACUGGCAGCAUUGAGUACAGUUGAGGUAGGCGGAAUUCGUGGUGUAGCGGUGAAAUGCUUAGAUAUCACGAAGAACUCCGAUUGCGAAGGCAGCUUACUAAACUGUGACUGACAUUGAUGCUCGAAAGUGUGGGUAUCAAACAGGAUUAGAUACCCGGGUAGUC
rnacentral:rRNA from 1 species